rnacentral:rRNA from 1 species
GAUGAACGCUGGCGGCGUGCCUAAUACAUGCAAGUCGAGCGAAGCGGGGACGGGUGAGUAACACGUGGAUAACCUCCUAUAAGACUGGGAUAACUUCGGGAAACCGGCGCUAAACCGGAGGCUUACAGAUGGAUCCGCGCUGCAUUAGCUAGGUGGUAAGGUAACGGCGUACAAAGGCAACGAUGCAUAGCCGACCUGAGAGGGUGAUCGGCCACACUGGAACUGAGACACGGUCCAGACUCCGACGAGAGGCAGCAGUAGGGACUCUCCCGCAAUGGGCGAAUGCCUGACGGAGCAACGCCGCGUUAUGUAUGAAGGUCUUCGGAUCGUAAACCUCUGUUAUUAGGGAAGCGGUACCUAAUCAGAAAGCCACGGCUAACUACGUGCCAGCAGCCGCGGUAAUAC